GUAAACUAUGUACAAUUGUAUUGAAGCCUUUGAAAUGCAAUGACAAUAACAAUAAGGCUUCACCAUGCUACCACUACUCUCCUCCUACUACUAAUGUGUUAGCUCUUGUUCCGUGUUACUGAAUACUUCAAUAUUAGCUUUCACACUACUUGUUACUAUCCUUCAACUAUCAAUCAAAGUCUUCUACAAUAUCAAACUAAUUUCUAAACUAUCACUACUACCUCAACUACUAACA
rnacentral:lncRNA from 1 species